AAGAACAAAUACAGCAGAGUCAGCUCUUUCCAAGAUCAACAGCAAAACAAUUAAACGGGCAGCAACAACAGCAAAAGACAGCGACAACCGGCAGAUUCAAACCCAAGAAAAUAAACUAGAAAUACCCCAGCAAAACAGUACAAUUAUGUAACUCCAGAAAAAUCUUUCAAGACUACUCUAUUUUCCUUAAACAAGUUUUUCACUUAAGAAUCAACUCACAAAAGCUGCUAAGGGAUAUUAUAGCUACUGAUUUUUUCUUUCUUUGUGUGUAUCUAGAUCUCUCUCAGUAAGAUGGAGUGUCCGCCUUUUAUAUCAAAACAAUCAUCUAUUUCAAAAAAAUUAAAAAUCACUCUUUUUAUAGAUUUUUCUACAAAAUCUGCUCUUAAAUUUAAAAUGCCAGACUUUCUGGUUCAAAUCUUGUCAAGUAUUUCAAACAAAAUCUGUUCUCCACUAUUCAAAGACAGACUUUUAUUCAAGCAGUGUCCAAAGGUCUAUAUUUUCUUACCAAACAACUUGACUUUUGAGUGUUGUACUCAAAGAGUCUUGAAGUAGUAAAUAAACAAUCAAACAAGUACCAUAUAUUCUUAAGUAUUUUUCACUACCUCACUUUUAUCAACACAAAACUAUUUUACUACUUCAACAAGUGCAAAAACAGAACAUUUGACAUUUCAAACUUCAAAAACUAAUGCUAAAAUAAUUAAGACAAAAAUAAGAUCUGAAAAAAUAAAAAUAAAAUAAAAAAUCAACCACGAAAAAUAAUAGGAUUUUUACCAUUUUAUAAUUCAAGUGGCCGAAAAAAUGGUGGUAUGCCAAAAGAGGGUGUUCGGGGAGGUCGCCGGAAUUUGACCGGAUUUUGGUCGCCGAAUUUUUAGGGUGAAAUUGGCAUCAAUAGUUAGGUCUUGAGGAGCUCUAUCCAUUGAUGUACGUAUUGUGGGGUGGUAGUGGUUGGAGCUUCAAUAAUUUGGGCAAAAAAGUGACGGGAAAGUUUCCUAGAUCUAAGAUUCAAGGAGUUUGAGGGAUUUUGUUUGGAAAUAUGGAAAGUGGAAGUUGUGGAGAUUACAUGGUGUAAAUUUGGAGGUGCUUGGAGGUGGUCCGCCGGCGGCGGCAAUUUCCGGCCGGCGGCGGUGGGGCGGCGGCAGCGGCUUGGGGGGGAGAGAGAAG
rnacentral:lncRNA from 1 species